rnacentral:lncRNA from 1 species
AAACAAACCCCAAUUAUUCUAAUAAUAAAACAAAACAUAAAAAUAAAAAAAAAAAAGGUUAGGGAUUCAAGUUCUUUCUCCAGAGUGAUUCAUUCCCUUCAUUGCUUUUCUGUCUGAUUUUUUUCUGUUUCAGGUAGGCACAAACUGAUUCUAAACUUGAUUCUUCAAUUAUUUUUUAUUGUUUUUGUAAUAUAUAGCUAACAAAGAACCAAUUUUAAAAUUCCAUGCAUCAUGAUUGGUAAAGAAGAAGUGGCGAUUGACCACCCCGAUUGUCAUCUUCAUCAUUUUCCAGCGUGCUUGAAUAAGUUUGGUCUGUCUUUCAACUUCUCUAAUCUAUUUGCCCUUGGGUAGUGGUUAAGCCCUUCUUCUUUUCUUUUUAUUGUAUAUUUACUUUGAAGGUUUUUGUUAUGAAUCAAGUAUCUGCUCUGUUUGGUGUUAAGAUCAAUUCAAAACUGUAUUUCGCUCCAAGAAAGUGAUCAAAUUGAGUAACCAGUUAAAGAUAUUUGCUGCUUAAUGAUCAAUUUCUAAGGAACGAAAUCAAGUAUAAUCAUACUCUCACUUUAUUAUUAGCU